CCCCGCACAAACACCUCUCGUAUCGAUCCCCUCGAGGAGAAGCCGUCGCCCCCAUCUCCCGCUCUGCCGCCGCCGCCCCCCGCCUUACCGUAUCUCCCUCUCAGCCACCUCCACCACCCCCACGCUUCUCCCCAUCGCCGGAUCCGCUAUUAGAUCGCCAAGGUUAGGCGGCAGAGCUCCACGUCCGCGACUUGCUCGUGCUCGUCAAGGAAGGGGCUGCCGAUCGAAUCUGCGCUCACGCGGCUUGUGUGCCAUGGCCGCCAUGGCAUCCAUGGCCGACAAGAGGGGACCCUCGGCCUCGGCCAUGGCCGCCUGCUUUGGACACGGGCUGGUACUGCAUCUCUUCGGCGGAAGGCGAAAAGAAUGGCGGCGGCGGGCAAUAUGGGAGAAGACGGUGCCCUGCCUGACAACGGACUCGAAUUUCUACUGGAUCCGGUUGACAGUGAGGUGGUUGCGGACGUUGAGGUGCCAGAUCCGUUGGCGGCAAGGGACUUAGUGGAGACAGACAUGGCUGGCGCCGAUUCCUCAUGCGCGGUUGUGGUUGGGCACCUCGGCGGAGCUGCUGAGCCCCGGGAUUCUGGCGGCAAGAGGAAACAGUAGUCAACCCAGUCCGUGGAAUCGACCGGGAAAGUGAACCCGGAGGCGCCCAGGUCGACCAGAAGGUAAAAAGUAAAAUUAGAGUUCUGAAACUUUCAGACAGAAUGGUUUUGAUUUUUGCAAGCACUGUCACAUACUUGUGCAUGAGCAUAUAUGCUUGGUGCUGUGAUUACUCGUUUCAGCUGGGUAUCCUCGUGAUUUUUCUGGUCAUACUAAUGCGAAUUGGUGUUUCAUAUAUACGACUAGCCAAGAAGUUUUUAGAUGGAUCAUGUCAUAGAUGGACUAGCCAAGAUUGUUUUCAGAUGGAGUGACGAGUGGCACCUGCAGUUCUAAAGGAAAUGUUAGGAGCUUAUGCCCGUCAUUGGCUUGUCUCCCCUGGGCUAUGCAUCCAGCUCCAGCGGGUUCAGCACGACUGAGGCAGCAGUGGGAAGGAAGAUUAUUUGGUAGGAUGGCGCUGACAACAUAUCGGAGAUGCGCCAAGCCUUGCUGCGACCUAGCUUUCUUGUGCUUGCUCUCCUUCCCCAACAACAGACCAUCAUGGCCCUCCCUUUUGUUGUUCAUCAAUGGGGGUCAUGUUCACAUCAGAACCAUCAUCAGCACAAUCUUCAUGAAUUUUCCAUAUUUGUCAUAUCUCUCUGAUUGUCCAGUGCAGAUCAUGUUGUUAAAAAGUGAAACUUCUGGGUUGAUUUCAGGUUUAAGGCGUAAAGACUUUUUUAGGUUCUGUUCGUGCUGGAAAAUUUAUGUUCAUUGUCGCACCAAUCAUGUCGGAACCGAAUUUAUUUUCAUUGUUUCAGUCCAAUUCAUCCUUAGAGGGAAAGUGUGGGCCUUGAACUGAAGGAGAGGCAAAUAUGUUUCUAUCAUAGUUAAAUUGGUUCUUGAUUUGAAGAGAUUAUAGAGCCACGUAAUUUUGUACCCGAGCACUGCCAACUGUCGACGAUUUGUAUUGUGUGUUGUUUUACAGUACCUACUUGCCAAUAUUAUUGUGUUGUUUCUCCUAACAAUUGUAGACAUGAAUACAUUUUUGACGAGGUGAAGACAACAGAGAUUGGAGGUAUGCGCUGGGCUCUUUGACACAAGCUAGGGAGGAGUAAGCUGACUGGAUAAUGAGAAAUGUUGAAGUAGUCCAAGGAGGAAUGACACACUGGCUGUGUGUGUGAUGACCUUAACUCUGAAAAAUGAGUUUUUCUUUCUUUCUAAAAUCUAGAGUGGAUUAAUUCUACAAGUAUCCUGAGUUUCUGAUAUGCUUUGCACAUCCACAUACGUGACAGCUGCAAGUUUAACCUGCUCUGAAAUCUCAGAGUUUGUUAGAAGAAACUAUAUUGUUGAUGUGGCUCUUUCACAGUUUUCAUUUCUAAUAAAAUGUGAAGGUGCAACUAUCCUGAAGAAUGAUGAUGUAAAAAGAAAGUUGUAUCAGCAUCGAAGUGAAGAACUGGUGCGGCAGAGCGUACCUUUCCUUCUUGUAAUGAUACCAUGUCCAGUGAAUGCAACACCUAAAACGUCUGCAUAUAAAAUUGCAGUUCGUGGCCGUGCACCUCUUGAUACAGCACCUUGUCCUGGUAGAGUCAGUCCGCUGGAAGAAAUGAUCAGGAGGUAUGCUGAUAAGCCCAUCCGAUAAUGUAGGAAGCCAGAGAUUAGGAUGAGUUUUGACUCCUCGGGGGAAGCUUACAUUUCUAUAACCUGUAUUCUUGGGAGCUUGUACUUGGAAUAAUAUGUGAAAAGAGUCUAUAACC
rnacentral:rRNA from 1 species